rnacentral:rRNA from 1 species
UACGAAGGGGGCUAGCGUUAUUCGGAUUUACUGGGCGUAAAGCGCACGCAGGCGGCCAAACAAGUCAGAGGUGAAAUCCCAGGGCUCAACCCUGGAACUGCCUUUGAAACUGUUUGGCUAGAGUUCGAGAGAGGAUGGUGGAAUUCCUAGUGUAGAGGUGAAAUUCGUAGAUAUUAGGAGGAACACCGGUGGCGAAGGCGGCCAUCUGGCUCGAUACUGACGCUCAUGUGCGAAAGCGUGGGUAGCAAACAGG